GUAUUAAUGCUCAUUGUCAAUGGAGUAUUUGUGAAGAUUCUACUCCCCGAUGUACUAGAGGUUGUUGUCGUUGUUGGUAGAAAUAUAUCCAUAUAUUACAUGAGUACAAGACCUAAGAAAGGACACAGCCUCCUCAUAGUUUAUUCCAUGAGUUAUGAUUUAGUUAUUGUGCUGUCAUAAAAUAAUUUGACAUUCUUAUAGUUUUUCUAAUUUCAUAGAUGUAGUUAUUGCUUUGUACUC
rnacentral:lncRNA from 1 species